rnacentral:rRNA from 1 species
GCUUCCGUAGGUGACUGCGGAAGGAUCAUUGUCGAGACUGCCCAGCAGAGGACCGGCGUACACGUUACAACACUCGAGGGGGGGCAAGGGGCGCGAAC